AGUGAACGCUGGCGGCGUGCUUAACACAUGCAAGUCGAACGAGAACGGAUUAUAGCUUGCUAUAAUUGUCAGCUAAGUGGCGCACGGGUGAGUAAUGUAUAGAUAACCUGCCCUCUAGAAAGGAAUAACAGUUGGAAACGACUGCUAAUGCCCUAUAUGCCUUUAAUACAUAAGUAUGCAAGGGAAACGCUUUAGUGCUAGAGGAUGGGUCUGUAUGGUAUCAGCUAGUUGGUGAGGUAAUGGCUCACCAAGGCUAUGACGCCUAACUGGUUUGAGAGGAUGAUCAGUCACACUGGAACUGAGACACGGUCCAGACUCCUACGGGAGGCAGCAGUGGGGAAUAUUGCACAAUGGACGAAAGUCUGAUGCAGCAACGCCGCGUGGAGGAUGACACAUUUCGGUGCGUAAACUCCUUUUCUAUAGGAAGAUAAUGACGGUACUAUAUGAAUAAGCACCGGCUAACUCCGUGCCAGCCGCCGCCGUAACAC
rnacentral:rRNA from 1 species